GUCGAGGGGCAGCAUAAUGGAUAGCAAUAUCUAUGGUGGCGACCGGCGCACGGGUGCGUAACGCGUAUGCAACCUACCUUUAACAGGGGGAUAACACUGAGAAAUUGGUACUAAUACCCCAUAAUAUCAUAGAAGGCAUCUUUUAUGGUUGAAAAUUCCGAUGGUUAGAGAUGGGCAUGCGUUGUAUUAGCUAGUUGGUGGGGUAACGGCUCACCAAGGCGACGAUACAUAGGGGGACUGAGAGGUUAACCCCCCACACUGGUACUGAGACACGGACCAGACUCCUACGGGAGGCAGCAGUGAGGAAUAUUGGUCAAUGGACGCAAGUCUGAACCAGCCAUGCCGCGUGCAGGAUGACGGCUCUAUGAGUUGUAAACUGCUUUUGUACGAGGGUAAACGCAGAUACGUGUAUCUGUCUGAAAGUAUCGUACGAAUAAGGAUCGGCUAACUCCGUGCCAGCAGCCGCGGUAAUACGGAGGAUUCAAGCGUUAUCCGGAUUUAUUGGGUUUAAAGGGUGCGUAGGCGGUUUGAUAAGUUAGAGGUGAAAUUUCGGGGCUCAACCCUGAACGUGCCUCUAAUACUGUUGAGCUAGAGAGUAGUUGCGGUAGGCGGAAUGUAUGGUGUAGCGGUGAAAUGCUUAAAGAUCAUACAGAACACCGAUUGCGAAGGCAGCUUACCAAACUAUAUCUGACGUUGAGGCACG
rnacentral:rRNA from 1 species